rnacentral:rRNA from 1 species
AUGGUCGUAGAUCGUAACUGGGCUGUGAGGUAUUACCCAAAUAGCUACAAGGCACCUGGUCACAGAUAUGUAUUUCUGAUUCUUGAUUCGGCUGAUGCCAAGGAUGUGAAGGCGAAAUUCACCUUUAGCUUACUUGACAAGGGUGGAGAACCAGUGCCUUCAUACAUCAAAACUGUGACAGAACAUAUUUUCCAAAGCAAAGGUUACGGUUACGGUUUCCCUGAGUUUAUCAAGCAGGAGGAUCUGGAGAGAUCAGCACAUCCAAGAGGCGAUUGUUUCAGAAUCAGGUGCGAUGUCUCCGUGGUGAAGAUGAUCCGCAGCCAAGAGAUGCAUGCAAAGCAGUUCGUUGUGGUUCCUCCAAGCGACUUGCAUUGA